AUGGCUUUUUUCAGAGCCUCAAKACAUUUCUGCCUAUUUGCAGCAGGAAAACCAGGGGCUCCUGCAAGCCCUUCUCCUCGCCCCGACUUUCUCCAAGAAUUUUUCUUCCCCUAUUAUGGAAAAGACAUAGAGGGAGUCAGAGCAGCAGGUUGUAGGGGAAAGUCUCCAGCAACAGAAACUGUCUGGGAGCGAGGGGAAGGGGGCUGUUGCYGCGACUGGAGCACGAAUCUUCCCACUGGCAGGAAUCCACCAGCUCCACCUUCCCCAGCAGCCACCCUGUGCUACCAGCCRCCCCAGCACCCCGGCAAGGCGGCAGUGCUGGAUGGGCAAGGGCAGCGCCACAGUGGGACAUCAGGCACACAAGGACGCACGGACGCAUGGACGCRGGUGCCGGGGGAAUGCGGCCGCGGGGAAAGGCAGAAGCGCUGGAGYGGGGCAGCAAGGCAGGCGACGCAUGGCUCGGAGGAACCGGCGUCGAGCUGGAGCCAGCGGCAUCGCUCCGGAUGCACCGCAACGCCUCGCGUGGCACGGUCCCCGCRGCACCUAAAUGCAGCAGGAUGGUGCCCCCGCUCCUGCCCGUGGCAGCUCGGCCUUGGGCACGUGCCUGGCAGCAAYGAGCUCUGCCGGGGGGACUGCGGCWCUCCCAGGCUGCGGCUCYGGCCGGGGACACCUGCAGCCUGUGCUCAAGCCCAGYGCUCCCGGCUCCGUUCAUCAUCCCGAGCGGAGCUGGGCACGGACCAAGCCACACUUGCUAGCGCUUCCAAUGGCUGYGGGGAAGUGCAGAGGGGUUGCUGCCGAGGCCGUGCCAGGAGCGCUGGAAAGGCGGUCUGCGAUAUCCCUGCUUCCCCCCAGACACCCAGCUAUGCAGACUGUUAUCCCUUCUCGUCCAGAGGAGGAGAGAGGAACGCCCAGGGCAGCAUUUCGCGAGCCUGGCGUGAGCGCGCAGGUCUCUGCGCCGCCCCCGAGCGCGCAGGCAGGAGCGGGACGGGCUGCUACAGUCCCUUUCCGAUCUUCGCGCAACUCAUCCGACACCUUUUCACCCCGGRCCUGUUGUCCCAGACACCAUCCCGACACUGCCGUCCCGCUCCRGGCCUCGCCGCCUGCCCGCCACCUGCAGUACAAGCAGGCGGGACGUGCGGCAGGACGCAGGGCUGCACCGGAGCCGGGGCCGGCAGGGCACCGCCGACCUCCGGCCGUGCUGCCGCCGCGGCCGGGCUCGCGGCACCAUCUCCCCCAGGAGAGGCGACCUCGCGGGAGGCCCGCGCCUUCCCCCCGGCCCCCGCAAAGGCAGCUCGAGGAGCCGAAUUGAGAUCCUUGAUUAUAAAUUCUUUUUACGAUGCACAUUAA
rnacentral:lncRNA from 1 species